GCCUGCGGGAAUGAGGAUUGGCUUGUCCACUGUGCUAACUGGACUGUAGGAAAAAAGAAAAGUCCGAAAAGAGAGAGCAGUGUCCAGGUUUGGGCUCAACUUUCCCUCCUCCUCUGGACUGGAAAGGACCCCCCCCCCUUGGAGGGCGCGGCUGAUUCUCUGGAUCUCCCUGCACUCCAAGCUUUUAUUCCCUUUUAAUUAAUACAAGGCACGUUUUUCUGUGCUCUUGGGUCACCAUUGGACAUCUUCCCCAAAGCAAUGACCACAAGACCUUCUUUUGUAGUGGAACGGGCAGCUCUCCCAGGUCCUGCUGGCCCAGGCUUGGGGCCUGAAGUGUAUGCCCUGCCUGCCCACUCAAGAGGUAAUUAAGAGCUGAUUGCUGGUAAUUAAGAGUUGCUGAGAGAGGCAGCAGGAUCCAAAAAGGAGACGGGCUCCUUUUGUCUUCCUGUGGACAGGCUCCUGGCGCCCGCCCCUCCCCCGCCGCUGCCCCCUCCCGCGGGGACGUGGGCCCUGGAGAGCAAGUCACAGCCCGCCCGCGGGAGUAUCUGUGUAUAUACGCUGUGCUCCGACUUCCUGCCCUCCUGUCGUUCCCGGGCCUUGAGUGAAGGCUUUGCCGAGCGGGUUGGAGUCCUAAUCUCCUGACGCUCAGCUGCGCAGAGAUGUAGCUUUUCCCGUAGUUGUCCCGGACCCCAGUCCUAAUGGGCUCUUGAGCCCCCGUUGGAGCCGGUGGUGCACAACGUGAACUUGUCAAGGAAGCAGCCAUUUCAGACUUAAGUCAUGGUCACUCCGAGGCCGCCGCUGUCCCCUCCGGACUGCCUCUUGCCGCGGCCCUGGGUUUCGGGGGGGGGGUGGGCAGGAGGGAGCCCCAGGCCGUCCUGGCCCUGAGCCACGGACGUGUGUCCACGUGCUGCCCUGUGUCCUGCCCCAGCCACCGGGCUCGCUGGCCUCGGAUGAGUUGUGCGUGUCCCUCGUGGACCAGAACACGAACCCCGAUGCCCCAGGUGGCCACAGCCUCGGGGCCAGAGGCCCCGCAUGCUGCUGCCCCACAUGUUCCCGCCGGGACUCUUCGGUUGUGGCUUCUGGGUGCCGUGGGGGCUCGGGCGCUGUUGGCUGCUCUCUCCGCCGUGCUGGGGUGUGCAGGAGCCAGGCCGCUCUUGGGAGCACCGCCGAGGCCCCUUAACCACGGCGACUUCACCUUCGUGGCUCCAUGCCAAGUGUGGACUUCUCUCGAGGACGUGACGUUUUCCCCUUCUGGCUGCACUGGAGCAGGUCCCCCUGCCCCCGCCCCUCCCUUCUCCAUUUUUUAAACUUCUCCGGGGUUUCUGGGCCUCCCCCUUCCCUGGUACCAUGCCUGUCCGGGCCCUCAGUUGGCAUGGAGUCCUUUUUUGCUCUCUCUCUUUCUUCCUUUCUUCCUUUCUUAGUUCAUUUAUUUGUUUUCAGAGAGACAGAGACAGUGCAAGUGGGAGAGGGUCAGAGAGAGAGAGAGAGAAUCCUAAGCAGGCUCCAUGACCUGAGCCAAAAGCAAGAGCUGGACGCUUACCCGACGGAGGCCCCCCGGGCGCCCCGGCGUGGAGACCUUUCUACUGUCGGAACCUUUAUCCCCUCGCCGUGUGGGAGGAAAACUGCCCUCAUCCUUCCCCAUUCUAUAUAUUAUGGUGCAGGAUCAACGUGCCAAGUCCAAGGCGUGUGAAAAGCCAAGCUUUCAGAAUUCCAGAACACCCUUUGGGUCCCAAGCACCUAGAGCCUGCAUUCGGACAUCAUGGCUCCCAGGAGCAGUCAACCUGGCGUAGGUCGACGAAAGUCUCCUUGGGGACUUGGGGAAACGCUUUCAUUCCUCGCAGACUAACAUCGUGCUUGGGUGGCUCGGUUCCGAGGGCGAGUGUCCCAAGAGGGAGAGAGAACGAAAGAGAGCCAGGUGGAAGCUGUUUUGCAUUUGGUGACCUAGCAUCGAGCCCCAUAGCCUCACUUGCUGCGUUGGUCGGAACAGGCACUAACCCAUCCAGGUUCAAGGGGAGAGGAGAAGGACACCACCUCUUUUUUUUUUUUUUUUUAAUGUUUAUUUUUUAAGAGCGAGUGCAAGUGGGGGAGGGGCCGAGAGAGAGGGCGGAGGAUCCGAAGGGGGCUCUGCGCUGACGGCGGUGAGCCCGGUGUGGGGUUCAGACUCAUGAACUGCGCGAUCACCACCCAAGCCGGAGACAGAUGCUCAACUGGCUGAGCCACCCAGGUGCCCCACCUCUUGAUGGGGAUGGCAAGAUUCUCGAAGCUCACACGGGACUGCAGAUAUUGCUGUGGCCGUAUUUGAAAAACAUGAGCUAUCAUAACAGAAGCGUCCCAGGGGAAGAGUGGAACAGACCUUGCUGAACCAUGGCAAAGGCUCAGAAUCUGGGGGACCAGCCCGAGGGAUACCCAGGGCUCCUUUAGCCCCGAACACAAUCGAGGGGCCACCCCCCUGCCUGGAUCCGAGAGAUGCUGGGAGGACACUCACCCCGGGGCUUGCAACACACGGGGCACCCCUUCUGGGUCCGUCUUUGCUGUAAUCCGGGGAGGACUAAGCCAUCAGAGCCACUAUCACAGAUGUUCUGGAAGGCCUACUCUCGGUGGUUCCUGCGAUGAUUGAUAGCAUGCCGUCUCUGCAAUCCUGCAUCUCUGGGCAGGGACCGAGGCAGACUGUUCGAAUCCAGGGGGAGGAGUCUUCUGACAAAGGUGUUCGGACCCUGGAGUUACCAGGCUAGCUGAGACGCUUUUAGACGAUCCCAGCCCCAGCCACUGUCUGACCGCACGCACAAAGGAGCGGGAACGGCCGAGCUGAGCCCAGGCAACCCCCCAGGACCAACAAGAAAAAAAAAAAUACUCAGACGAUGUUGUUUUAAGCCACUAAGUUUUUCGGUGAUUUGUCCCACAGCAGUACAGUAACUGUUCCCAAAGUCACCUCAUUGCCCAAGAUGGCUUCUGGAGCUUGAAGUUCAUUUGCCCCCUCUGGGGACAGCAGCACAGAAGACUGAAAUGCCAACUGGUCUGGAAAAUCCAAGGCAUCCGACUGCUAUGCAGGUGGCCGUCAGCACUUGUCUGUGACCAAUGGCUGACUAUUUUGUCUUGCGGGUCACAUAUUUCUGCCCCUACUAGAGCCUGCCAAGCCACCAUUCCACUCGGGGACAGCCCUGCUGAGGGCAGAGGGCUCUUUGGAACAUGUGGUAGGGCCCUCUGAGGUCCUGGGGACAGAGGACAUGCCUGCUGCCUGGGCUGGCAGCUGUUCCCCGUCUCGGCUCUAGCUCCGCCCUCACAGACCCCAGGUGACUUGGCACAUGUCGUUGACACGGAGCCGCUCAAUUUCCUGCCUUACCUCCCCUCUGGCCUCCUGGCUUGCAACCGAGUCUUCCUGUUUGGGGGGCUGAGGGCUCUGCGGUUUCUCACCGGCUUUCUCUGCACCCCCGUCCCCCAAGGACAAGGUUUGCGGGGGGGGGGGGCAGGACGGGAGGGACAAUAGCCCUUCUGGUGCACUGGAGGCGGCUCCAGACUGCAGACCUGGGCUUUCAUCCAGGCUCUGCCACGAAUUGGCCGCCAGGGUUGGCGGAUCCCUGAACCCCUGGUCUCAGUUUCCUCAUCUACAAAGCCCUCACGGGUUGCGGCUUUGUGAUUCUGUAGUAUUUGCUGAGUGGCCUUGUUUCGUGGGGCCAGGCCAUUUGGAGGAUCUCAAGGAAAUGGUAUCAGUUAGUGAUCUUUCCACUGUAAACCCAACCCAAACCAAUGUUAGCGAAAGGAGGAAUCCGUUGGUCUGUGUUACCGAAUGGUCCAGGGGCGAACGCUUCAGGUAUGGCUUGAUCUAGGACCCAAAGAUGACCCCGGUGCCCAUUAUUUUCUUUGUUUCCCCUGAAUGGGCUUUAGUGGCUGCACAGUGGUUGUUCCCUGCCCCCCAUCCCUGGAACUUCCAGCACCCUGACCUGCCCCCCCGCCCCCCGCCCAUGCCUCCGCUGUAGCUGUUAUACUCUGAGCCUUGCAUUCUCCCACAACCAAACCCAGCCCAGAAGAAAGGCUGUGUCCCAGCCAUCCCAGCAAAGGCCCCGAUGUUCCCUUUGACUGAACCAAUUCAGUCAUGUGUGUUCUGUGAUUAAGCCAUUCAGGCUGAUCCCUUGAAGCUGGGGGUGCAGCCAACCCUGACUUCCCAAACUACGUCGCUGGGAAAGAAAGGAAACGGAUACUGGCAGUGUGUGUGUGUGUGUGUGUGUGUGUGUGUGUGUGUUUGCGAGGGGGUUACGUAUCCUCAAAGAUCACUCCGAAAGCAGAUUUAUACCCAGGAUGAAGAAAGCUGGACCCCCAAAUCCAUAUAGUGCAGUGCAGUUUGGCAAUAGAAAGCUUCGGGUGAGCUCAGCAGUCAGGGAGGGCUUCUUGGAAGAGGCGGGCCUUGGAUACUGCGGAGAAUUUACACUGGAAGGUGCCUGGGGGGAAGGGCAGACAAGGACCCUCUUCUGUACGGUCCGCAGCCCGACAGCUUCUCUCAGUCUGGGAACUACAUUGAUUGGAGUUUGACCAGGUCGUAAUCGCAGAGGUAAAAGAGAAACCCCGUCCGGGGGUUAGGGGUAAAUUGUGUCUUCCCCCAAAUUCGUAUGUUGAAAUCCUAACACCCCCCCCCCCCAGGACCUCACCCCCCACCCAGGACCUCAGGAUGUGACUAUAUUUGGAGUAAGGUCUUUAAAUAGGUAAUGAGGUUACCAUGAGGUCACACGGGGGCAGGGGGGGCCCUAAUCCAGCCUGACUGGCGUCCCCUCUAGAAGAGGAGGUUCGGACACGGACAUACCCAGAGGGAGGAGCAUGUGGGGACGCGGGGCCACCGUGGGAGGGCAGCCGUCUGCAAGCCGCACAGGGAGACCUCAGGGGAAGCCAGCCUGGAGGCCCCUUGAUCUCGGACUUCCGGCCUCCAGAAGUCCGGGACCAUCAAGCUCCGUCGUUAAAGCCACUCAGCGUGUGGCUCCUCAUUCCGGCCGCCCCGGCCGACUAGUACGACUGCUUUCAAGAGUAUCGGGGUCCCCACCUCGCCUUUGCGCCUUCCUGCAGGGGCUGGCCUCCCUGUUCGGAGCCCGGCUGUGCUCCCGGCGCGAAGCCACCCCGGGGACUCUCCCCUGCUCCCCCUUUACCCCACAGCUGACACCCCAACUGCAGGGGCUUUGCCAGAACGCCCUCCUUGACGCCGCCAAGCCCUCUUUAUCCUUUACCUUCCUGAUGGUCACUUGUCCCGGACCGUCCUUGAGCGCAAAAACCCUCGCCCUGGCCCCACGGUGUCUACUUUGGCUGAAGACGAAGCCAGAUCCGGCCGGUUUUUUGAAAUAGGAGACGGAAUUUUCCCCGAAGUGAAAAUCAUGGUACCCAAUUCUUGUGGGAGGCAGACGGGGCUGGCGCUGGCAACCGCCAGCCUUUCUUUCCCGCAGAAAUAGCCCCACAAUGGCCUCAUUUUCGAAAACUUGCGACUCAGCGAGUACGUCGCCUUGAGCAAGAAGAAUCCACUUUGCUGAAGUUGAAAAGGGAGAGAAAUCCAUUAGUCAACGUAGGCGGCCACUCAAGUAGGGGGGACUGAGGAGUGCCCCGCCCCCCCCCGCGCC